GUUCCCCUUCACUGCCUCCCUUACCAAGGCGCUGAGCGUGAUCGGCUCGUCGAGUUCCGUCUUCGACGGGGCGGCAGGCCGGUCUGCAUGCAGCAACUUCAAGGUGUUCGAGGCGUAAUAGAACCACUUCCAUGUCGCCAUCUGCACAGCGACGAUCACAUACUUUGCUGCCAACGGGAGGUCCCACGCCUGCACAACCUGCGUGUUCCUCUCCACAAAAUCGGGGUCG
rnacentral:sRNA from 14 species